rnacentral:lncRNA from 1 species
AGGUUUUCCCCUGGGCAGGGGAAAGGGAACCGACCUUUGGUCAGAAUGGCCCCAUAGACAUCCAAAAAACUUCGAUGGAAGACCUCGUAAGUUUGCACGGAACCCAGAACCACGUACUCAGGGUCAUGCAAACAUACCUCAAAUAACUAAAAUAUUUUGUUACAAAUACACACAUAUCUAUUUCUUUACUAAAAAUGUACUUUAGACAUAGAAUGAAAAAAAACAAAAAACAAAAAUG